rnacentral:lncRNA from 1 species
CUGUGGGGUGAGAUUGGAGUCUGCUGAUGCAGCGGGGUGGGUCUGGGUUUGGGUCUCAGAGAGUCGUGGCUCCAAAUCUCACUCACCACCCAGUCCCUUGCUGACUUGGGGGGGUCUUCUCAUGGAACCCACGGUGGGUAGCCUCGGAAAGACCCCUCUCUCCUAUUGUACAGCCAGCCAGAGAGCAAAGUCAGGAAGUUCCCCCAGACCCAGGAAACAGCAAGGAGAGCUCAGAUGGAAAUCAUAGCAUAAUCAAAACCGGAUCAACAACUAACUUCCGAAGAACGGGCCUGCUCAGCACUGCCUUCCGAGGGCUCCCAGCCCAAGAGAGCUGCUGCUGUCUCUGCUUCCAGGCCCACAGCUCCUCCCUGCUGUGCUCUGAUGGAUGCAUGCCCCCACCCCAACCAGGGGGAAGACAAAUGUGCCCCAGGUAUGCAGACGGCGUCUUCCUCCAAAGCCAGGCCUCUGGUUUAAAGCACAGAAUGGUGUCAGGUAGCACCGGGAAGGGUGGCAGCGAGAGCUGGGAGGGAAACAUCUCACACUCCGGCCUGGGCCAAAGUAGGAGACAGCAGGGCAGGGCAGCAGCUUCCUUGCUCUGCAGAGUGAGCGGCACAAGGUGAGAGCCAGAGCGGCGGCCACCCCCAGCCAGCACCUACCUUCCUCUUGUUGGUUGGGCAGAUGUAGAAAUUGUCGAUGACGGUGGUGACACCAGGCUGGAGGGUGAGCUUGGUGUAGGACGUCCCGAAAUCUGAUGACCUGGGGGAAAAGGGGGACAGCCAUCAGCCAUGUACCCUCCAAGUGUGGCCUUCAUCAGCCCACACGGUGUCCAGCCCCUGCCCUGUGCCCGUGCGGGCAGAGCGCCCCAGACACCCUGAGUACAGUCCUGGGCACUCUGCCUGGGGGCAGUGUAUGCCGACAAGGCAGGAGAGGAGACUGGGCUCUCUCAGGAACACUGAGGACUCACACAGGUGUGGAGCUUAGGUCCAGAGCUAGG